GCCCGCCUAGCUCAAUCGGAUAGAGCGUGUGACUUUUAUUCACUCGUGGCGGUUCCUCUGCUUUGGUAAAAAGAUUAUCACAAGGCUGCGAGUUCGACCCUCGCGGUGGGCU